GCGCUGUUACGACGAUAGAGGAUAGUUCCGGCUUUAUUCUCACUGCCCAGCACGUGUGCUGGGGGAGGAGCGAUACCCGUGGUGCUGGUUGUCAUGGUUACAGCUUCCUCCCUCGCGAAGUUACAUCUCCAUAGCAACCACAGGAAGGUGUGGAUUGGAUGGGGAAAAUGCUGCAAACUAUAGGAUGGAUUAAAACGUCGGUAAACUACCGGGCUGCACGACACAAAAACCCAGAAGACAGCCAUUUUCGUACUCGCCGUGAAAACCUCAAAUCUCAUAAGAGCUUCUGAGAUCAAGACAUGCAAGUACAAG